AGAAGCCACAAGAGCUGCAGGAACAUUCUUGGCGGGUCUGAGUGCUGCUAGUCGUAACAUCAUAUUUCACUCUGGAGCAGCUGACAUUCACCAGUGAAAUGUGAAAUCCAGGCCUCCAUAUCAAAGAGGAAGGUUCACCCGGAGGGUAUACAGCGAUAGCUACUGUGUGCAGAAGGUGGGGAACUGUGUACCACCUAGAUAAGUCUCCUCACCUCUUAAGCCCAGCACGGAUGCAAUAUGGGAAAACUGGACUCCAUUUCAAACUUCUCAAGAUCUCAGGCUCCUGUGCCGCACCUGCUGCCCCCUUCCUGCUCCUGAUGCUGGGAAGAAGAUGAUGUUCGUGCACCGCUGCCGUUACGCUGAGCCAGUCUGGUCCCAAGAGAGGAGCCUUUAAUUGCCAGGCAACAAACUUGCGACAUCCGAUGCUGAAACGAAGAGCAGUUAAUGGAGAAACCCGGCUGUUCGUUUUUAGCGUCUCGCUGCGAGGGUGUUGUUUCCUCUUUUUGUUUUCAUCGCUUGUUUUGGGUUUGUAUUCCCGGGUUAGUGGGGGGGGCAGGCAAGUAGGAGAGUUUUAAGGCUUAUUAUACCCUGGUUCAGGGUCUAAGUGAGAGUCACCGUUCCUGCUCAGAAACCGGCAAGGCAAAGGUUUUA